AGCGAUGUACAUAAGGAAAGAAUUAAAGAUCAUAACCAAAGGGCAAGAAUAAAUGCCGAUCGUAACAGGCAGCUUUUGCAUCCGGGCCAUGACGGAUAUUUUCGUAUACUAUUCAAAACUUUUCAAAUUAUCAACACGAUAGGUGCAUCGGUUACUACAGUAAGGCUACACAGCUAUCCACUUGCGCAGAAUAUUAAGGUAAUAAGGUAUUACGGUUUAAGGUAUACAAGGUCUAUUAUAGGGUAUAAAAGGCAUUUCAUCGCUUGUUGAGUGCCAUGGACUUCUUUCGGUUGCCAGCAAUCAUUUACUGGUACAGGUGCUCACCGGCGGGCGGACUGUAAAUCGCGGACUGUGCCUUCCUCGGUCCGCUUCUUUCUCCCUCUGCCACUCCAAGCAGAAGCGUGCUGCUCUGGCCAAACUCCAUAUUGCGCUGGCGGCCCCUCACGAACUGGACAACACACGGAUCCCCAAAAGGAGCAGACAGGGUUGGAAGAUUGCGUAGGACUUCCUGAGGCCUCUUGAGGGCAGUAAGCCCUGCAUUAGAAAGACCUUCGCCGGGGUUAUAGGAGCCACCUCUGGUCAUAUGUGCUGGAACUUACACGUCCCUUAGCAGGUCGGGACAGGUGGCCUCCAGCACAUCGCCCGGGACGCGAGGCUUGCCCAUCCCUAAGAAAGACCCUGCAGGAAGUCCCAAUCCCUGUUACUGUGCAUACAUCUUGUUGAAAAGGGAACCAAAGUCCCUA
rnacentral:lncRNA from 1 species